GGUAGUAAUUUAUAAGGGCGUGGAGGGAGUUUGUUGAAUUCUGUUACCGUCGGAGUCGGACUCUAUCUCUAUCUCCAAAAGUCCGUUCUAAUCUAAUCUCUUCGUGCGUCGUCCUAAUCAGCGCGAGCCGCAGCCCCCGCUGACGCGAAUCGCGACCUCCGCGCGACCCUCCGCUGACCCGGUCUCCCUGCCGCCUGGAGCGAUGAAACCGCACCCUCGCGCCCAAGCCCAGACUCAAAACUCAGCCAAACCCUUCGCAUCUUCCUGUGGUGGCGUCCUCCUCCAACGUUGGUCCGUGUUUGUCUCCAUGGCGCUCUCGAAUGCCUAAGCCAAGGCCGACCGCGUCGAGCUGGUGCUGCAGGUGCUCGACGAAACGCCCCGCAGGACCGAGUUCUCGUAGACCAUGCUCGUCGAUUCUCUGGCGAGGGCCGGCCGACAGCACGACGCAUUCUGCCUCUCCGCGGAGAUGCGGGCCUCCAGCGUGGCCUGCGACUCCCACGUCUGCGUAUGUCACUACGGGAAGAGCUACAUAUUCAUCGUAAAUUAUGUGGAAAGGAUGUACAAGCAAGCUGCCCUUGUGCAGACAGACUCAGAGGUGUAGAGAAGACAUGGUGUCCGCUGAGGAUUGCAAGAUCCAUUGCUGCAUAGGCUGAUGUAUGCGGCACACCAUCAGGAGCAGACUGAUCCCGCACACAUAAGUGCACGCUUUGCAGAUUUUAUCCUGGGAAUUCUGAAUUUGGCUUGCCCUUUGCGGAUUUUCAAGUGGUGUGUGCUAUUUGUGGAUAGGUUUGGUGCUGCGAACAGUGUGUUAGAACCAAAUUCUUGUCAGGCUAAACCGAUUUAUAUCAUAGAUGCAGGUGAUUUUUUUUCUUAUGAUUAUGAUCUUAAAUGGGAUUUAGUUGGACCGUGCUAUUCUGCUAUAACUGUAAAGUUAGGGUGCCGAAUAGUUGAUGCACCUGCUUCAUCAUCUAGAAAAAAGAAAUAAAGGAGAUUUUUGACGAGUUUCAUUUUUUUAUGGAACCUUUGUUGGUGGCUCGAGCAACAUAUAAAGGCGAUCAUCACUUCCGAUGAGUUGAGUUUUAUUGCUUACUAUUUCCUUCCUUCCGAUUCUUAGCUGCUAGGAGCUUUCAAGUUGUUCCCUCCCAUAAUCUAGAGUAAUUACAGAUCUGUACACGUUAUAUAAGCAAUUUCCCUUAUGCAAACCUGGAUGAUUAGUUAUGUAUAUAGAAUUUUGAAGAGAAAAUAUAUUUUUUCGAAUA